CCUACGGGAGGCAGCAGUGGGGAAUAUUGCACAAUGGGGGAAACCCUGAUGCAGCGACGCCGCGUGAGCGAUGAAGUAUUUCGGUAUGUAAAGCUCCAUCUGCAGGGAAGAAAAUGACGGUACCUGACUAAGAAGCCCCGGCUAACUACGUGCAAGCAGCCGCGGUAAUACGCAGGGUGCCAGCGUUAUCCGGAUUUACUGGGUGUUAAGGGAGCGUAGGCGGCUGUGCAAGCCAGAUGUGAAAGCCCGGGGCUCAACCACGGGAGUGCGGUUGGAACUGUGGGGCUGGAGUGUCGGAAAGGCAGGCGGAAUUCGUGGUGUAGCGGUGAAAUGCGUAGAUAUUAGGAGGAACCCCGGUGGCGAAGGCGGCCUGCUGGAGGAUGACUGACGCUGAGGCUCGAAAGCGUGGGGAGCGAACAGGAUUAGAUACCCGUGUAGUC
rnacentral:rRNA from 1 species